AAGGGGGGGUCUUACCAUGCAGUCGAGCGGUAAGGCCCUUCGGGGUACACGAGCGGCGAACGGGUGAGUAACACGUGGGUGAUCUGCCUCGCACUCUGGGAUAAGCCUGGGAAACUGGGUCUAAUACCGGAUAUGAGCCUCCUUCGCAUGGAUGGGGUUGGAAAGGUUUACUGGUGCGAGAUGGGCCCGCGGCCUAUCAGCUUGUUGGUGAGGUAACGGCUCACCAAGGCGACGACGGGUAGCCGGCCUGAGAGGGCGACCGGCCACACUGGGACUGAGACACGGCCCAGACUCCUACGGGAGGCAGCAGUGGGGAAUAUUGCACAAUGGGCGAAAGCCUGAUGCAGCGACGCCGCGUGAGGGAUGACGGCCUUCGGGUUGUAAACCUCUUUCGACAGGGACGAAGCGCAAGUGACGGUACCUGUAGAAGAAGCACCGGCUAACUACGUGCCAGCAGCCGCGGUAAUACGUAGGGUGCGAGCGUUGUCCGGAAUUACUGGGCGUAAAGAGCUUGUAGGCGGUCUGUCACGUCGAUUGUGAAACCUCGCGGCUCAACCGCGGGCCUGCAGUCGAUACGGGCAGACUAGAGUACUUCAGGGGAGACUGGAAUUCCUGGUGUAGCGGUGAAAUGCGCAGAUAUCAGGAGGAACACCGGUGGCGAAGGCGGGUCUCUGGGAAGUAACUGACGCUGAGAAGCGAAAGCGUGGGUAGCGAACAGGAUUAGAUACCCUGGUAGUCCACGCCGUAAACGGUGGGUACUAGGUGUGGGUUUCCUUCCACGGGAUCCGUGCCGUAGCUAACGCAUUAAGUACCCCGCCUGGGGAGUACGGCCGCAAGGCUAAAACUCAAAGGAAUUGACGGGGGCCCGCACAAGCGGCGGAGCAUGUGGAUUAAUUCGAUGCAACGCGAAGAACCUUACCUGGGUUUGACAUACACCGGAAAGCCAUAGAGAUAUGGCCCCCCUUGUGGUCGGUGUACAGGUGGUGCAUGGCUGUCGUCAGCUCGUGUCGUGAGAUGUUGGGUUAAGUCCCGCAACGAGCGCAACCCUUAUCUUAUGUUGCCAGCGCGUAAUGGCCGGGGACUCCUUGAGAGACUGCCCGGGGUCAACUCCGAAGGAAGGUGGGGGACGAACGUCAAGUCAUUCAUGCCCCUUUAUGUCCAGGGGUUUCCACCAUGGCUACAAUUGGCCGGUACAAAAGGGUUGCGAUACCCGUGAGGUUGGAACGAAUCCCUUAAAAGCCNGGUCUCANGUCCGGAUCGGGGGCUUGCAACUCGAACCCCGUGAAAUUUGGAUUCGCUAGGUAAUCCGAGAUUCAACCACCCUGCCGGUGAAUACUUUCCCCGGGCCUUUGUACACCGCCGUCAGCUUGAAAAUCGGGUAACCCGCGAAACGUGGGCUAACCCCUGGGGAAGGAACCCCAAGGGAAUUGCUAUGGAGGAUCCUCAGUAGAUCAAAA
rnacentral:rRNA from 1 species